rnacentral:rRNA from 1 species
CCUCGGGGGCUGCAGUAGGGAAUCUUCCGCAAUGGACGAAAGUCUGACGGAGCAACGCCGCGUGAGCGAAGAAGGUCUUCGGAUCGUAAAGCUCUGUUGUUAGGGAAGAACAAGUACCGUUCGAAUAGGGCGGUACCGUGACGGUACCUAACCAGAAAGCCACGGCUAACUACGUGCCAGCAGCCGCGGUAAUACGUAGGUGGCAAGCGUUGUCCGGAAUUAUUGGGCGUAAAGCGCGCGCAGGCGGCUUCUUAAGUCUGAUGUGAAAGCCCGCAGCUCAACUGCGGAGGGUCAUUGGAAACUGGGAAGCUUGAGUGCAGAAGAGGAGAGUGGAAUUCCACGUGUAGCGGUGAAAUGCGUAGAGAUGUGGAGGAACACCAGUGGCGAAGGCGGCUCUCUGGUCUGUAACUGACGCUGAGGCGCGAAAGCGUGGGGAGCAAACA